GUUUCCGUGAGGGCUCAGUUGGUAGAGCAUUAUGCUAACAAUGCAAAGGUUAUGGGUUCAAAUCCCAGAGAGAGCA